GCCUACGGGGGGCAGCAGUAGGGAAUAUUGCUCAAUGGGGGAAACCCUGAAGCAGCAACGCCGCGUGGAGGAUGAAGGUUUUCGGAUUGUAAACUCCUUUUGUUAGAGAAGAUAAUGGCGGUAUCUAACGAAUAAGCACCGGCUAACUCCGUGCCAGCAGCCGCGGUAAUACGGAGGGUGCAAGCGUUACUCGGAAUCACUGGGCGUAAAGAGCGCGUAGGCGGGAUAGCAAGUCAGAUGUGAAAUCCUAUGGCUUAACCAUAGAACUGCCUUUGAAACUGUUAUUCUAGAGUAUGGGAGAGGUA
rnacentral:rRNA from 1 species